ensembl:lncRNA
UGAUGGGAGAAAGCAGUGCAGUAGGACAUGCCUUGCCACUGCGGCACAUACCUGGUCAGGGGCUGGAUAUUGCCCUUGAAUGGGGCCCUGCUGGCGAGACAGGCAGAGGAGCACCCACAACUCCCUGGGAAAGCUGGACAUGAGAUUCUUCUUGAGCUGUCGAAAAUGGCAUCACUUUCUGAGUCAUUUAUUAUAAAUAGCAGCAUGAAGCAGUUUGUCUGGAUUUUAUGGAGGGAAUGGCCUGGAAGCUAAAUCAUAACCAAAAUUGUAAUAAAAAGAAGAUGAAAAAUGUACAAACAAACCAUAUUAAAAAUUGCUUAUUACAUUUCGGUAUCCUCAAGAAGUUGUUUACUGUGUAUUUCUUCUUUUCUGAUGUGAGAUCUACAUUUCAUUUUUCCUUUCUGUCAAACCUCUUUCACUCACGGUCUCUAGUUUAAAUACUUUCUCCGUGGCAGCGAUUGUAAUUCUGUGCUGUUUCCUCAUCUGCUCCCUCUCAG